rnacentral:misc_RNA from 1 species
GAGAGACUCAGAUUAUCUGCGCGGAGCGCGAAUGAAUUAUCAUUUUCCCUUCGACUGCCCCCAUCAUUGGACCAAAACGAAAACCACCAGGGAGCUCUCGGAAGACGCAUAGUGAGGUCCGGGUCCCGAAUCCCAAGCAAAGAAUAACAUCGUAAUCAGAACACACAAGCAUAUAUACAUACAUAUGUAUAUAAACGUAUUGUACAGUUCCCUGUUGUAAGUAUCAAAUAUAGUUAUGUCUCGAGCAGCGACAUCUGAACGGUCCAACUCUGAAGACAGUAGCAACGCACAUACUUGCUUGACCGAGGUGCUCAGGAACUGUGCCGAUAUUCAAUCGCUGGAAAGCUUGAGCCUGCCCCACAGCUACGACUACUACAACGAGCGGAAGAUGAUUUCGCCAAACCCGUAUUCUUUCAGCGGGAACGUGUCAAAUAGCAGCUGCGCCAGCGACGACGACGUUUCCUUUACAGACUGUUUACUCGAAGACAAUGGCCGCAUUUCGUUGGCCUACGAAAAUCUGAGAAGCAUUCCACGGCGACUUGCAGACAAGUUCGCAGCACAGACCAAGUGUCUAGAUCUCAGUCAUAAUGACUUUCGCGAUUUGAAAUUUCUCUCCUUCUUCGAAAACCUGGACACACUGAUUUUGGACAGAAAUAUGAAUUUGGACUUGAACACUCUUCCUUAUCUACCAAGCCUAAAUAUAUUGUGGAUCAACAACUGCGAUAUCUCCAAUACCGACUGGAUACACCGGAUCGAACGGAACUGCCCGGCGCUGGAACAACUGUCGUGCAUGGGCAACAUCCGCACCGCCAAUGCCAGUCAGGGUGCCGAAAUAGAUGUCGGGCGCGACUAUAUUCUUCAAGUAUUGCCCAAUCUUAAAUAUCUUGACGGUGUGCCGGUGCCGGUUUCCGUCACCCAGAACAACGGGAACGGUAGCCCUGCUGUUCUCUUUUCCCCUUCCCAAGGGCAAUGCCAAGACUCAACGAGCCACACAGGCAGUGGGAAAAUUUCCAGACCGACACUCGCAUUCAAGAAUCUCUUCCGGCUCAAACCAUCCACAAAGCCGCACGGUCCUGAUGGAGCGCGAAGCGAACAUAUGUAUGGAAACGGCUCGUCCACAAACUAACAUAACAUCAACAAAUGGUUCGGCAAAGGUCAUAUGCAUUUGUUAGCCUAUGAUAUUUGGACAUCCAUGGAUGCAGCCCUGGAUUGCACCUUCCUAACAAUGGAUGCAAAUUUGUACAGAAACCUAGCGUCAUAAAAUACAUUUUUACAAUGCAGCGACUGAACAUCAGUAAAGUAAGUGUUCUUCAUGAAUGGCAUUCAUGAACUCCACAUUCCCAAUCAUUUGUCUUAUUUUUAUUCAUUGUACAAAUAUUAUAAUAAAGACGACGUCAAAUAUGCA